rnacentral:rRNA from 1 species
UACAGAGGGGGCAAGCGUUGUUCGGAAUUACUGGGCGUAAAGGGCGCGUAGGCGGCCUUCUAAGUCAGACGUGAAAUCCCUCGGCUCAACCGGGGAACUGCGUCUGAGACUGGAAGGCUUGAAUCCGGGAGAGGGAUGUGGAAUUCCAGGUGUAGCGGUGAAAUGCGUAGAUAUCUGGAGGAACAUCGGUGGCGAAGGCGGCAUCCUGGACCGGUAUUGACGCUGAGGCGCGAAAGCCAGGGGAGCAA